rnacentral:pre_miRNA from 13 species
CCGGCUCUCGCCCCGUGGCGUUAAAAUUCUCGCUGGGGCCUCCAAAUGUUGUACCCGAGCGAGUUAGAAAAACGCCACACUUUGAGACGAAUUAAGAGUCCUUCAUUAG